AUUGAACGCUGGCGGCAGGCCUAACACAUGCAAGUCGAGCGGAUGAAGGGAGCUUGCUCCUGGAUUCAGCGGCGGACGGGUGAGUAAUGCCUAGGAAUCUGCCUGGUAGUGGGGGAUAACGUCCGGAAACGGGCGCUAAUACCGCAUACGUCCUGAGGGAGAAAGUGGGGGAUCUUCGGACCUCACGCUAUCAGAUGAGCCUAGGUCGGAUUAGCUAGUUGGUGGGGUAAAGGCCUACCAAGGCGACGAUCCGUAACUGGUCUGAGAGGGUGAUCAGUCACACUGGAACUGAGACACGGUCCAGACUCCUACGGGAGGCAGCAGUGGGGAAUAUUGGACAAUGGGCGAAAGCCUGAUCCAGCCAUGCCGCGUGUGUGAAGAAGGUCUUCGGAUUGUAAAGCACUGUAAGUUGGGAGGAAGGGCAGUAAGUUAAUACGUUGCUGUUUUGACGUUACCAACAGAAUAAGCACCGGCUAACUUCGUG
rnacentral:rRNA from 1 species